UACGUAGGGCGCAAGCGUUGUCCGGAAUCAUUGGGCGUAAAGAGCUCGUAGGCGGCCUGUUGCGUCCGCUGUGAAAUCCCGGGGCUAACCCCGGGCGUGCAGUGGAUACGGGCUGGCUGGAGGCAGGCAGGGGAGAACGGAUUCCCGGUGUAGCGGUGAAAUGCGCAGAUAUCGGGGAGGAACACCGGUGGCGAAGGCGGUUCUCUGGGCCUGUACUGACGCUGAGGAGCGAAAGCGUGGGGAGCGAACAGG
rnacentral:rRNA from 1 species